rnacentral:snoRNA from 12 species
GCCAUGAUGAACUUGUGUGUUUGAUCAGUGAUGAACUGAAACAACACAACUCAUUCCUCUAAGAAGUUCUGAGCUC